rnacentral:rRNA from 1 species
UACGUAGGUGGCGAGCGUUAUCCGGAAUGAUUGGGCGUAAAGGGUGCGUAGGCGGCCUGCUAAGUCUGGAGUGAAAGGUACCGGCUCAACCGGUACAGGCUCUGGAAACUGGCGGGCUAGAGAGCAGGAGAGGGCGGUGGAACUCCAUGUGUAGCGGUAAAAUGCGUAGAUAUAUGGAAGAACACCAGUGGCGAAAGCGGCUCUCUGGUCUGUAACUGACGCUGAGGUUCGAAAGCGUGGGGAGCAAAUAGG